GAAUGGGAUGAUGCAGUUAGUAAGGGCUCUAAAUCUAUUUGCUAAAUAAAUAACCAUGUUGAUUGAAGAAAAGGUGUGAGACAGAAAAUGGCAGAAUUUGAAGUGGCAAUUUCAACAUCAAUUAAAUGAGGCACACCCAUGCCGGAUCCUUUUGAUAAUCCAGAGGAAUUGAGGAGGACACCAGGUGAAGAGAUCUUUUGAGAAGAUGUAACUAGCCUAAUGGUUCUAGCAGCUUCAGGCUCUGCCUGGCGACUCUAAGGGCUGAGAAGAAGAUUUUCUUGGCACACUUGAAACUGUUUUGUGGCCAAGAAAUACAAAAGCAGCACGGGAGAAAUGAGGCCAGCACAAAGGCAGUGUGAUGGUAAAGCAGCGUGCGACACUUGGAGUUUCUGACAGUUGUCUUUGUGACUAUCGGCAGAAUGCAGCUGGAUAUCUUCAGAAUGUGCA